UGUGCUUCUCAGCCUUUUGGCAAAGAUUAAAUGUGGUAUCCGUUCUUAUAGUUUAAUAGCCAAUACUUCCUCUGGUCCAGGAAAUACAAAUGUUUAGAAGAUAGAAUAGAAACUUAAGCUUGUUUUAACCUCACCAUGCAUCAACCUGGUACUGCAGUACCUCCACAAGUGGUUGGUGUGGCUCAC
ensembl:snRNA U2 U2 spliceosomal RNA